rnacentral:rRNA from 1 species
AUGAGAUGCCUAAGUUGGAACUGCCGGAGGCUUGGGAACCCCGAGGCAGUUCGAGAGCUUCGCAAAAUUGUGAAGCAAGAAGGGCCCGCCCUGCUCUUUGUAUCGGAAACGAAGAUUAGGGCAAAGAGGGUAGAGAUUUUGCAACACAGCUUGGGUUUUGCGGGCUGUUUUGCGGUGGAUAGCUCCGGCCUUAGUGGUGGAAUUGGCCUUUUUUGGUCAAGGGAAGUGAAAGUUAGUUUACAGAGUUUCAGUUCUGGGCACAUUGAUGUAAUGGUUCAAAAAGCUGAUUUGACAUCUUCGGAAUGGAGAAUGACGGGGUUCUAUGGAGCUCCUAGGAGUGAGGAUAAGCGCCAUAGUUGGAGGUGUCUGAGAACGUUGCAUACAAUUCCACACCUGGCUUGGCUGUGCCUUGGAGAUUUUAAUGAGACCAUGUACGGAUCAGAACACUUCAGUAGGGCUGAUCGACUGGAAUGGCAAAUGCGUGCGUUUCGGGAAGCCUUGGAAGACUGCUCUUUGCAAGACCUCGGUUUCACAGGAGUACCGUUUACAUGGGAUAAUACACAAGGGGGCGAUCUAAAUGUGAAAGCCCGUCUUGAUAGAGGAGUAGCAAAUGGUCAGUUUCUACAGAGAUUCGAGUCAGCGCAAGUUAGACAUAUCAGUGUUGUUGAAUCAGACCAUUGUUUUGUUUUGGUCCCAGGAAACACAGUUUAA